ensembl:lncRNA
CAAGAUCCUCGUGACCUAAAAAGCUCUCCCCCACCUUGCUACCCCUUACCUCUCUGACCUUCUUCUCUCCUACCAGCCCUCAUGCUCUCUCCCCUCAACCACAGUUGGUCACCUUGUCAUUCCCAGGUCCAAGCUCCAGAGUUUCAGUGACAGGGCAUUUGUAAAAAUGUGGGCACAAUCAGAAUGUGGACAAGAUCAGGAUAGAGGAUGCAUGUUUGCGCCAAAGUAUUUUGUUUAAUGUUUUUCUUCCUUUUGUUUAGUUAGAUUAUUGAAUGUUUGUUAGUUUCUACAAUUGUAAAGCUAUGUAUGUUUCAUGUAUAAGUAUUGUUAUUAUUAAAGUAGAGGAGUUAGUUCAGGCAAGCAACAUUUCAACACGUUCUUUUCACAUAUCCUUUGUAGAAGUUUUAUUUAUAAACUGGGUGGUUCCAGCCCUGAAUGCUGAUUGUCUGAAAGCCUUGUUAUAUCAGACCGUAUGACAAAACCUUUAUUUUUACUGCUCUAAUUACAUUGGUAACCAGUUUAUAAUAGCAAUAAGGCACCUCGGGGGUUUGUAGUAUAUGGCCAAUACAUCACGGUUAAGGGCUGUAUCCAGGCAUUCUUCAUUGCGUCAUGCAUAAGAACAGCCCUUAGCCAUGGUAUAUUGCCAAUAUACCACACCUCCUCGGGCCUUAUUGCUUAAUAUACAUGCUCACCUCUGCCAAUUGGAAACUGUUGUCCACUUGUCUGUCCCAUUUCCUUAAUAUGUUCUAUUUUGCAGUGGCAAUCAACAACCAUACCCCCACACUACAACCCUCCUCCUGUUGCUGCCCAAGAACUGUCUGAUACAGUUGCCCCCCAGGAGACCAGCUUCGCCCCCAUCCUCAACCAGGUUGAACCCCUGAUAUCCCCCACCACCCAGGAGACCAGCUUCACCCCAUCCCCAACCAGGUUGAACCCCCAAUAACCCCACCACCCAGGAGACCAGCUACACCCUCAUCCUCAACCAGGUUGAACCCCCGAUAUCCCCCACCACCCAGGAGACCAGCUUCACCCCCACCAAACCAAAGAAGAUGGGGAGAAAGUCCUGCCACCCUCAAAAAACCCUCCAACUCGCUGAGCAUGACACAGUCAAUCCCAUCAAACCCUAUCCAACUCCGACCAAGGAAGAGGAAAUAUGACUACUUGCAAAAAGAUUCUUGCCAAUCGAAUCUGGCAAGUGGCAGAGUCAGGAGUCAGACUUGAGCCAACUCCCCCCGUUUAUCGUGAGGAGCCAAGGAGGAGCUCAGAACCAGAGCUGGUGUUGGAGGUGAGCAAAGCAGAGACUGUGAAGGAGUUAAUGGGGAAAUUGGAGGAGAGAGAUAUGAGGGAGUUGCUGGUUUGGUGCAUGAGGCACGACAUUCGCCCAACGGAGCGUGUCAGGGAUUUAAUGGCACCUGGGUCAGCUCUCCAUACUCAUCCUGAGGUGCGUGCUAGGGGUCUGGUGAAGACUGUGCCAGCCUCACGCACCAGGCCUCCUGUGCAUCUCCCUAGCCUUGCACGUCCUGUGCCAUCUCAGCACUACAGUGCUAACCGUGGCGGGCGUGGUGCUGGUCAGGCACCGUGUUAUGCGGUGGUUCGCACGGUGUCCCCAGUACGCGUGCUUAGCCCGGUGCGCUACAUCUCAGCUUCCUACAUCUGCCGGGCUAGGGUGAAGAUCCAGCCAGGGCGGUUGGUGCCAGCCCUGCUCUCAAGAUCUCCAGUACGCCUUCACGGUCCGUCCAUCCAGUGCCACCUCCACACACCAGCCCUCCAGUGGCAGCUCCCCGCACCAGGCUUCCUGUGCGUGUCCUCGGCCCAGUACCACCAGUGCCAGCACCACGCAUCAGGCCUACAGUGCGUCCCGCCUGUCCAGCGCUGCCGGGGCCUUCAUCCUCUCCCGCCUGUCCGGCGCUGCUGCCGGAGUCUCCCGCCUGUCCAGCGCUGCUGCCGGAGUCUCCCGAGCCCCUCUGUCCCGAGCUGCCGCCCCUCUGUCCCGAGCUGCCGCCCCUCUGUCCCGAGCUGCCGCCCCUCUGUCCAGUGGGGUCAUUAAGUAGGGUCGCCGUGGCUAGGAGGCCACGGAAGCGGACAAGGUGGGGGACUAAGACUACGGUGAAGUGGGGGCCACGUCCAGCACCAGAGCCGCCACCGCGGACAGAUGCCCACCCAGACCCUCCCCAAUAGGUUCAGGUUUUGCGGCCGGAGUCCGCACCUUGGGGGGGGG